GACGAACGCUGGCGGCGUGCUUAACACAUGCAAGUCGAACGGUGAAGCGCCUUCCUUUUUGGUGGGUGUGGAUGAGUGGCGAACGGGUGAGUAACACGUGAGUAACCUGCCCCCUUCUUCUGGAUAACCGCAUGAAAGUGUGGCUAAUACGGGAUAUUCUGGGUCUGUCGCAUGAUGGGUCUGGGAAAGAUAUUGUUUCGGUGGGGGAUGGGCUCGCGGCCUAUCAGCUUGUUGGUGGGGUGAUGGCCUACCAAGGCGGUGACGGGUAGCCGGCCUGGGAGGGUGGACGGUCACACGAGGACUGAGACACGGCCCAGACUCCUACGGGAGGCAGCGGGGGGGAAUAUUGCACAAUGGGCGCAAUGCUGAUGCAGCGACGCCGCGUGGGGGAUGGAGGCCUUCGGGUUGUGAACCUCUUUCGCCAGUGAAGCAGGCCUGCCUCGUUUGUGGGUGGGUUGACGGUAGCUGGAGAAGAAGCGCCGGCUAACUACGUG
rnacentral:rRNA from 1 species